AGAAUCAACGCUGGCGGCGUGCCUAACACAUGCAAGUCGAACGCGGUUACCCCGCAAGGGGUAACUGAGUGGCAAACGGGUGAGUAACGCGUGGGUGACCUACCUUCGAGUGGGGGAUAACGUUUCGAAAGGAACGCUAAUACCGCAUGACAUCCUGCCUUUGGACAGGCGGAGAUCAAAGCCGGGGAUCGUAAGACCUGGCGCUUGGAGAGGGGCCCGCGUCCGAUUAGCUAGUUGGUGAGGUAACGGCUCACCAAGGCGACGAUCGGUA
rnacentral:rRNA from 1 species